GAUGAACGCUGACAGAAUGCUUAACACAUGCCAGUCUUUGGCGAAGCUGUGCUUGCACAGCCUAGCCAAGGCGGACGGGUGAGUAACGCGUAAGGAACUUGCCCUGCAGUCAGGGAUAACAGACGGAAACGACUGAUAAGACCUGGUAAAGUCAGGCGGACUCAUGUCCAGCCUGAUGAAAAGUGAUGCUGCAGGAGAGCCUUGCGUCCUAUUAGCUUGUUGGUGGGGUAACGGCCCACCAAGGCGAUGAUAGGUAGCCGGCCUGAGAGGGUGGACGGCCACAAGGGGACUGAGAUACGGCCCUUACUCCUACGGGAGGCAGCAGUGGGGAAUAUUGGACAAUGGGGGCAACCCUGAUCCAGCAAUUCUGUGUGCACGAUGAAGGUUUUCGGAUUGUAAAGUGCUUUCAGCAGGGAAGAAAAAAAUGACGGUACCUGCAGAAGAAGCGACGGCUAAAUACGUG
rnacentral:rRNA from 1 species